CAGUCGCCGCGGUAAUACGAAGGGUGCAAGCGUUACUCGGAAUUACUGGGCGUAAAGCGUGCGUAGGUGGUUCGUUAAGUCUGAUGUGAAAGCCCUGGGCUCAACCUGGGAAUUGCAUUGGAUACUGGCGAGCUAGAGUGCGGUAGAGGGUAGUGGAAUUCCCGGUGUAGCAGUGAAGUGCGUAGAGAUCGGGAGGAACAUCUGUGGCGAAGGCGACUGCCUGGACCAGCACUGACACUGAGGCACGAAAGCGUGGGGAGCAAACAGGAUUAGAUACCCCCGUAGUCCCUGUCUCUUAUAC
rnacentral:rRNA from 1 species